GAUUAAAUGGCUGAAUUAUAGGCGGUAAAUUGUAAAUUUAUUUAUAAGAAUAUUUCUUUUUAAUCA
rnacentral:tRNA from 1 species